rnacentral:rRNA from 1 species
UACGUAGGGUGCAAGCGUUGUCCGGAAUUAUUGGGCGUAAAGAGCUCGUAGGCGGUUUGUCGCGUCUGCUGUGAAAACUCGGGGCUUAACUCCGGGCCUGCAGUGGGUACGGGCAGACUAGAGUGCGGUAGGGGAGACUGGAAUUCCUGGUGUAGCGGUGAAAUGCGCAGAUAUCAGGAGGAACACCGGUGGCGAAGGCGGCAUCCUGGACCGGCAUUGACGCUGAGGAGCGAAAGCCAGGGGAGCAAACGGG